rnacentral:piRNA from 1 species
UAUCCGGCAGAUCCACAAAUUUGA